GGCGAAGCCUGAUCCAGCCAUGCCGCGUGUGUGAAGAAGGUCUUCGGAUUGUAAAGCACUUUAAGUUGGGAGGAAGGGCAGUAAGUUAAUACCUUGCUGUUUUGACGUUACCAACAGAAUAAGCACCGGCUAACUUCGUGCCAGCAGCCGCGGUAAUACCAAGGGUGCAAGCGUUAAUCGGAAUUACUGGGCGUAAAGCGCGCGUAGGUGGUUCGUUAAGUUGGAUGUGAAAGCCCCGGGCUCAACCUGGGAACUGCAUCCCAAACUGGCGAGCUAGAGUAUGGCAGAGGGUGGUGGAAUUUCCUGUGUAGCGGUGAAAUGCGUACAUAUAGGAAGGAACACCAGUGGCGUAGGCCACCACCUGGGCUAAUACUGACCCUGAGGUGCGAAAGCGUGGGGAGCAAACAGGAUUAGAUUCCCUGGUAGUCCACGCCGUAAACGAUUUCCACUAAGCCUUGGGAUUCUUGUCCAUCUUACUGGGGGAACUUACGGAAUAAACCCGACCGGCUGGGGGAAGACUGGCGCAAGGUUAAAACUUAAAUGAAUUGACGGGGGGCCCGGCAAGACUUGGAGGCUGGUCCUUCAUUUCAAAGAGGCUUAAAAAACCUAACAAGGGCUUUGCAUGCACAAAAAUGUUUCCGAAAUGGAUUUGGGCCCUUGGGAAAUCUCUACACCCAGGUUUUGCCCGUUUGGAUCAG
rnacentral:rRNA from 2 species